rnacentral:sRNA from 1 species
UGUGGGAGCGAGCUUGCUCGCGAUAGCGGCAGGUCAGCCAGCACUUAAGUGCCUGAUACACCGCCAUCGCGAGCAAGCUCGCUCCCACA